CAGGCCCAGUCUACACCGACAUCGGGAGACCUUCGUGCCUGGUGUCCAUUUCCCCAACUCUAUAGACUUCUCCCCUCCUGGGUCUGCUGCCUGGAGUCCAGUCACCCUGGGUCCCCUCAUUUCCCAGUCCAGCUCCCUGGUGCAGUCUGUGGGGGCUGUUAAGAUGCAUACUUUCCUGUUUGCUGUACAUGGCUGUUUAGCAGAAGCUGCGCUGGGAUUGGAGCCUCGGUCUCUGUCCUCAAAGCCCACAUUCUCACCUACUACAACACCUUGGCAGGCUGCAGGUGGACAGAGGCUGUUAAGUUUCCAGGCAUUCAGGCAGUUAUAUUUCCCAGUCCCCUUGCAGCUUUCUUGGUGGAGUCUUGCCGUGGAAUGGAAAAGCCUACUUUCUAUCACUUCCUGGAGGCUGCUGAGGCACGUGGAAGUGAGUGGGCUCCCCUAGCCCCGACCCAGUCAAGACCAAACCAGGUCCCAGCAUAUCUCUGUGCUCCAAGAGUCGUUUUGUGAGCUGGUUCCUAGAUAAUGAGGACCUGUGAGGAGUCCCGGCCCGCCGACAGCCUCAGCACAGGGUCACUGCCACGUGGGACCCAGGCCAGAGACAUCCUGCCUCCUAGGAAUGGAUUCCAGAGGCCCUGGUCACUGACCAGCACACCUGUGGGUGAGACACAAACCCCCUCCUCCCACACGGAGCCAGCACUGUCUUUGCAUUGUAUAUUUUGUAUAAAAAGAGCUCCAAUGUGGGAGCAUUUCCUUUUUUUGUCUAAAAUUGUCCAGAUUGUUAACACCAUCAUUAUCUGGACCCAGUUAAUUACAUUCAAACUUGCUUUUGUCCUAAGCGAGAGUUAUUUCUGCGACUUCUUACACACAGUUUCCUAAACACAGCGAAGAAAACACUAGCCUGGAUUUCAUCUUCAGCUCCUCAUCUUUACAAAGAAGGUACCAGCUGUUUGUGAACCCGCAGGGCAUUAAACGCGCAGGAGCCUUGGACGGGAGCAUGGAGAGAGAAAUCCACAGGUUCCACCCAGGCUUUCUGAGCAAACAAAACCAGGGAAGGCAAACACAGGCCUUUUGUUCUGACCCCAUGGUUCUAGCCAAGCGCUGCUUCGCUAAGGUUGACCUCACAGAGCUGAAGAGUGUGGCGUGAAUUGCCAAGUUGACUGGGGCCAUCCUGUGUGCCAGGGGACUUGGCCCUCCUCCCAUGGCCAGUUUGCCUCUCACCUUCACACCCUGCCUCGCGGCCCAGGGGCCUCGGCGCAGGUGGGGUGAGGGAGACAUCAGCAGGCUCCAUCUCCCAGCAACAGGGUCGCUUUGAUGGGUGCAGUUUCUGAGCCCGCUCAGCCAAGAUCAGUAAUAGCUUCCUCCUUCUCCUCCCCCACACAGACCUAGAUAUGUUUUCUUCUACAUGUAAGUUAUUGAAAAUAGUCAAAGGCUCAUCAAGACUUUGAAGAAAUUCUUUCUUAUGAACUCUUGUCCUUUUAAUUAGCAGGAAGUAAAUUCAUGUAAAACAGUUUUGCGAUCGCACAAGCAGAUAGGAGGCGAUCAGAAAAUGUGCUUAUCCUCAUCUCCCAGCUUGACUUUCGUAUUGCGGGGAAGUCCUUCAUCCUUCUAUCAACACUUUCUUUAUUCCUGCCUCAAAUCCUGGCUGCUUAUUUAAUCUGAUGAAAGUCUUCUUUGCCUGUGUCUGCUCUAACCCCAGAUAUGUGCAAUCAUAUAAAAUGGAUUCAUGUGUGGCUCUCUUGCUGCUGUGCCUAAGCCUGACAUUCUGGGUCACAUGCACUGGAGAUGCAGGACAGGCUUCUAAACCACGUGAACAGAGAGUGCGGACACACGGCUUGCCUUUAUCUCCGUCCCAGGGUUCACAAGAUCAAUCACAAUAUUGUUCCCGCUGACCCUGGGAGGAAAAGUCAUGAAACCCAACCCAUGCCCCGUCCUCCCAGGGAGUUCGGGAAGAAAAUUGCAGUCAAAGAUUGAAGGAACAAGGACUGGAAGGGGAAUUGUCCCUGGAAACCAAUCUGCAGGCGGCUUCCUUUUCUCCCGAAACAUGCCUUUUUUACUUUUGAGUCGCGGUCUCACUCUGUCAGCAGGGCUGGGACGCAGUGGCAUCCCAAAUUGCUUGGAUUACAGUUGUGAGCCACUGGCUCCCAGGUCCAAAACAUGCCUUUUAUUUUUAUUAUUAUUUAUUAUUAUAUUUAUUU
rnacentral:lncRNA from 1 species